rnacentral:rRNA from 1 species
AACGAACGCUGGCGGCAUGCCUAACACAUGCAAGUCGAACGAGACCUUCGGGUCUAGUGGCGCACGGGUGCGUAACGCGUGGGAACCUGCCCUUAGGUUCGGAAUAACUCCCCGAAAGGGGUGCUAAUACCGGAUAAUGUCUUCGGACCAAAGAUUUAUCGCCUUUGGAUGGGCCCGCGUUGGAUUAGCUAGUUGGUAGGGUAAAAGCCUACCAAGGCGACGAUCCAUAGCUGGUCUGAGAGGAUGAUCAGCCACACUGGGACUGAGACACGGCCCAGACUCCUACGGGAGGAGGAAGGGGGAAUAUUGGACAAUGGGCGAAAGCCUGAUCCAGCAAUGCCGCGUGAGUGAUGAAGGCCUUAGGGUUGUAAAGCUCUUUUACCCGGGAUGAUAAUGACAGUACCGGGAGAAUAAGCUCCGGCUAACUCCGUG